rnacentral:tRNA from 1 species
GGGUAUAGCUCAGUGGUAGAGCACAUGCCUAGCAUGCAUGAGGUCCUGGGUUCAAUCCCCAGUAGCUCCA